GACAAGAAAUAACAAUACGGGGCUUAUGUCUUGUAAUUGGAAUGAUGCCGACUUACACCCUCGGCAGAGUACCAAUUGGAAGGCAAGUCUGGUGCCAGCAGCCGCGGUAAUUCCAGCUCCAAUAGCGUAUAUUAAACUUGUUGCAGUUAAAAAGCUCGUAGUUGUAUUUCAGCCUCGCGUUUUUUCCCUCUUUUCGGGUCUUUUCGCUGGCUUUCUUUUUACUUUGAGAAAAUUAGAGUGUUUCAAGCAGACUUUUGUCUUGAAUACUUCAGCAUGGAAUAAUAGAGUAGGACCUUGGUUCUAUUUUGUUGGUUUCGAGCCUUGGUAAUGGUUAAUAGGAACGGUUGGGGGCAUUCGUAUUUAACUGUCAGAGGUGAAAUUCUUAG
rnacentral:rRNA from 1 species